rnacentral:rRNA from 1 species
AGAACGAACGCUGGCGGCAGGCCUAACACAUGCAAGUCGAACGGGUAUCUUCGGAUACUAGUGGCGGACGGGUGAGUAACGCGUGGGAACGUACCCUUUGGUUCGGAAUAGCCUCGGGAAACUGGGAGUAAUACCGGAUACGGUCGAGAGACGAAAGAUUUAUCGCCGAAGGAUCGGCCCGCGUUGGAUUAGGUAGUUGGUGGGGUAAUGGCCUACCAAGCCGACGAUCCAUAGCUGGUUUGAGAGGAUGAUCAGCCACACUGGGACUGAGACACGGCCCAGACUCCUACGGGAGGCAGCAGUGGGGAAUCUUAGACAAUGGGGGAAACCCUGAUCUAGCCAUGCCGCGUGAUCGAUGAAGGCCUUAGGGUUGUAAAGAUCUUUCAGUGGGGAAGAUAAUGACGGUACCCACAGAAGAAGCCCCGGCUAACUCCGUGCCAGCAGCCGC